rnacentral:rRNA from 1 species
GACGAACGCUGGCGGCGUGCUUAACACAUGCAAGUCGAACGGAAAGGCCCUGCUUUUGUGGGGUGCUCGAGUGGCGAACGGGUGAGCAACACGUGAGUAACCUGCCCUUGACUUUGGGGUAACUUCAGGAAACUGGGGCUAAUACCGGAUAGGAGCUCCUGCUGCAUGGUGGGGGUUGGAAAGUUUCGGCGGUUGGGGAUGGACUCGCGGCUUAUCAGCUUGUUGGUGGGGUAGUGGCUUACCAAGGCUUUGACGGGUAGCCGGCCUGAGAGGGUGACCGGCCACAUUGGGACUGAGAUACGGCCCAGACUCCUACGGGAGGCAGCAGUGGGGAAUAUUGCACAAUGGGCGGAAGCCUGAUGCAGCAACGCCGCGUGCGGGAUGACGGCCUUCGGGUUGUAAACCGCUUUCGCCUGUGACGAAGCGUGAGUGACGGUAAUGGGUAAAGAAGCACCGGCUAACUACGUG